ACAGGGAUUGCCCUAGUAACGGCGAGUGAAGCGGCAACAGCUCAAAUUUGAAAUCUGGCUCUUUUAGAGUCCGAGUUGUAAUUUGCAGAGGGCGCUUUGGCUUUGGCAGCGGUCCAAGUUCCUUGGAACAGGACGUCACAGAGGGUGAGAAUCCCGUACGUGGUCGCUGGCUAUUGCCGUGUAAAGCCCCUUCGACGAGUCGAGUUGUUUGGGAAUGCAGCUCUAAAUGGGAGGUACAUUUCUUCUAAAGCUAAAUAUUGGCCAGAGACCGAUAGCGCACAAGUAGAGUGAUCGAAAGAUGAAAAGCACUUUGGAAAGAGAGUCAAACAGCACGUGAAAUUGUUGAAAGGGAAGCGCUUGCAGCCAGACUUGCUUGCAGUUGCUCAUCCGGGCUUUUGCCCGGUGCACUCUUCUGCAGGCAGGCCAGCAUCAGUUUGGGCGGUAGGAUAAAGGUCUCUGUCACGUACCUCUCUUCGGGGAGGCCUUAUAGGGGAGACGACAUACUACCAGCCUGGACUGAGGUCCGCGCAUCUGCUAGGAUGCUGGCGUAAUGGCUGUAAGCGGCCCGUCUUGAAACACGGACCAAGGAGUCUAACAUCUAUGCGAGUGUUUGGGUGUCAAGCCCGAGCGCGUAAUGAAAGUGAACGGAGGUAGGAACCCGCAAGGGUGCACUAUCGACCGAUCCUGAUGUCUUCGGAAGGAUUUGAGUAAGAGCAUGGCUGUUGGGACCCGAAAGAUGGUGAACUAUGCUUGAAUAGGGUGAAGCCAGAGGAAACUCUGGUGGAGGCUCGCAGCGGUUCUGACGUGCAAAUCGAUCGUCAAAUUUGGGCAUAGGGGCGAAAGACUAAUC
rnacentral:rRNA from 1 species